rnacentral:rRNA from 1 species
AGUGAACGCUGGCGGUAGGCCUAACACAUGCAAGUCGAACGGCAGCACAGUAAGAGCUUGCUCUUACGGGUGGCGAGUGGCGGACGGGUGAGGAAUACAUCGGAAUCUACUUUUUCGUGGGGGAUAACGUAGGGAAACUUACGCUAAUACCGCAUACGACCUACGGGUGAAAGCAGGGGAUCUUCGGACCUUGCGCGAUUGAAUGAGCCGAUGUCGGAUUAGCUAGUUGGCGGGGUAAAGGCCCACCAAGGCGACGAUCCGUAGCUGGUCUGAGAGGAUGAUCAGCCACACUGGAACUGAGACACGGUCCAGACUCCUACGGGAGGCAGCAGUGGGGAAUAUUGGACAAUGGGCGCAAGCCUGAUCCGGCCAUACCGCGUGGGUGAAGAAGGCCUUCGGGCUGUAAAGCCCUUUUGUUGGGAAAGAAAAGCAGCAGGUUAAUACCCCGCUGUUCUGACGGUACCCAAAGAAUAAGCACCGGCUAACUUCGUG